rnacentral:rRNA from 1 species
GAUGAACGCUGGCGGCGUGCCUAAUACAUGCAAGUCGAGCGAACAGACGAGGAGCUUGCUCCUCUGACGUUAGCGGCGGACGGGUGAGUAACACGUGGAUAACCUCCCUAUAAGACUGGGAUAACUUCGGGAAACCGGAGCUAAUACCGGAUAAUAUAUUGAACCGCAUGGUUCAAUAGUGAAAGACGGUUUUGCUGUCACUUAUAGAUGGAUCCGCGCCGCAUUAGCUAGUUGGUAAGGUAACGGCUUACCAAGGCAACGAUGCGUAGCCGACCUGAGAGAGUGAUCGGCCACACUGGAAGUGAGACACGGUCCAGACUCCUACGGGAGGCAGCAGUAGGGAAUCUUCCGCAAUGGGCGAGAGCCUGACGGAGCAACGCGGCGUGAGUGAUGAAGGUCUUCGGAUCGUAAAACUCUGUUAUUAGGGAAGAACAAAUGUGUAAGUAACUAUGCACGUCUUGACGGUACCUAAUCAGAAAGCCACGGCUAACUACGUG